UACAGAGGGUGCAAGCGUUAAUCGGAAUUACUGGGCGUAAAGCGUGCGCAGGCGGCUUUGCAAGACAGAUGUGAAAUCCCCCGGGCUCAACCUGGGAACUGCAUUUGUGACUGCAUGGCUAGAGUACGGUAGAGGUGGGUGGAACUCCUGGUGGAGUGGUGAAAUGCGUAGAGAUCAGGAAGAACACCCGUGGCGAAGGCGGCCCACUGGGCCGGUACUGACGCUGAGGCACGAAGGCGUGGGGAGCGAACGGG
rnacentral:rRNA from 1 species